rnacentral:rRNA from 1 species
UACGUAGGGGGCAAGCGUUGUCCGGAUUCAUUGGGCGUAAAGAGCGUGUAGGCGGCCAGGUAGGUCGGUUGUGAAAACUGGAGGCUCAACCUUCAGACGUCGACCGAAACCAUCUGGCUAGAGUCCGGGAGAGGAGAGUGGAAUUCAUGGUGUAGCAGUGAAAUGCGUAGAGAUCAUGAGGAAGACCAGUGGCGAAGGCGGGUCUCUGGACAGUUCCUGACACUGAGGCACGAAGGCCAGGGGAGCAAACGGG